CAUAAAAGUUGACAUGGCUUACCCCUGGCUCUCUCAGGAUGCCUUCUUUUGGAAGUCAGUCACUAUGUGGUGAGAAGGUACAGAUUAUAUGGAAAGACCAUGAGUUUGUCCUGGUAGCAGAAAAAUCAGAAGUCUUCCUUUAUGGCAACUGUUUUCCAUGGUGACAACCAACAUACUUGUUCCACUUUCCCAUCUUCUCUUGCCUGGAGCAUCUUCAAUAUUUUCCACUCAUCAGCAUCUGCAAUAAAACAAAGCCCUGUCAUA